rnacentral:tRNA from 1 species
UCCCCUGUAGCAUAAUUGGCGAUGCAACUCCCUCUGAAGGAGGAGAUUUCAGGUUCAAACCCUGACGGGGCAA